GGAUGAAGGUUCCCACCUAUAUAGCACAAUAAUAAGAUAAUAAGAUUAGCAUGGCCCCUGCGCAAGGAUGACACGCAAAUUUGUGAAGCGUUCCUCUUUUUU